GUGCCAGCCGCCGCGGUAAUACGUAGGUGGCAAGCGUUAUCCGGAAUUAUUGGGCGUAAAGCGCGCGUAGGCGGUUUUUACAGUCUGAUGUGAAAGCCCACGGCUCAACCGUGGAGGGUCAUUGGAAACUGGAAAACUUGAGUGCAGAAGAGGAAAGUGGAAUUCCAUGUGUAGCGGUGAAAUGCGCAGAGAUAUGGAGGAACACCAGUGGCGAAGGCGACUUUCUGGUCUGUAACUGACGCUGAUGUGCGAAAGCGUGGGGAUCA
rnacentral:rRNA from 1 species